GUGGGGAAUAUUGGACAAUGGGCGAAAGCCUGAUCCAGCCAUGCCGCGUGUGUGAAGAAGGUCUUCGGAUUGUAAAGCACUUUAAGUUGGGAGGAAGGGCAGUAAGUUAAUACCUUGCUGUUUUGACGUUACCGACAGAAUAAGCACCGGCUAACUUCGUGCCAGCAGCCGCGGUAAUACGAAGGGUGCAAGCGUUAAUCGGAAUUACUGGGCGUAAAGCGCGCGUAGGUGGUUUUGUAAGUUGGAGGUGAAAUCCCCGGGCUCAACCUGGGAACUGCCUCCAAAACUGAAUGACUAGAGUACGGUAGAGGGUAGUGGAAUUUCCUGUGUAGCGGUGAAAUGCGUAGAUAUAGGAAGGAACACCAGUGGCGAAGGCGACUACCUGGACUGAUACUGACACUGAGGUGCGAAAGCGUGGGGAGCAAACAGGAUUAGAAACCCUAGUAGUCC
rnacentral:rRNA from 1 species